rnacentral:piRNA from 1 species
UUCAAGGAAAUGUUGAAUUACAUGUGAGG